GAUGAAGAACGUAGCGAAAUGCGAUAAGUAGUGUGAAUUGCAGAAUUCAGUGAAUCAUCGAAUCUUUGAACGCACAUUGCGCCCCUUGGUAUUCCAUGGGGCAUGCCUGUUCGAGCGUCAUUUGUACCUUCAAGCUUUGCUUGGAGUUGGGUGUUUGUCUCGCCUUUGCGUGUAGACUCGCCUUAAAAUAAUUGGCAGCCGGCGUAUUGAUUUCGGAGCGCAGUACAUCUCGCGCUUUGCACUCAUAACGACAGCGUCCAAAAGUACAUUUUACACUCUUGACCUCGGAUCAGGUAGGGAUACCCGCUGAACUUAAGCAUAUCAAUAAGCGGAGGA
rnacentral:misc_RNA from 1 species